rnacentral:rRNA from 1 species
UAUUAUAUUAUAUUGAGAUAAAGUAAUCUAGAGUAUUGUUAGUUAUAUCUUUAAAUUUGAAGAAUUUGGCGGUAGUUUAUCUAAUUUGAGGAACUUGCUUUUGAAUUGAUAACCCUCAGAUAAUCUUUCUUAUUAUAAAUGUUUGUAUACCGUCAUAGAAGAUAAAUUUUAAAGAAAUUGAUUAAAUUUAAAAGUUUAUGAAAAAUAGAUCAAGGUGCAGCGUAUAAAUAAGUUAAAGUGAGUUACAAUAAUUUAAAAUUAAAUGGAGCAAAAAGAGAAUAGGAUUUGUGAAGGUGGAUUAAAUUGUAAUUUAAUUUUAAUAAGAUUAGAUGAAAUUAGGAAUAAAUUAU